rnacentral:lncRNA from 1 species
UGUCACCUCUUUGCCUCUAAUUUCUUAAGCUCUGAUGAUGUCUCAUUGAUCUCCCAUGUGAAAUUAGGGUGAAGCUGCUGCCCUUGGGCUCACCUUCCCAGAGCCCCCCUGUGCAGACUGCUGGCUAUUAGCAAGAGGGGAUUUGAUGUCCCUCUCAUCUUGGGAUGCAGGACAUUAUGCUUUCUCUCCCCAGAUCUUUCAGUUGUGUUUUAUCUUCAAAUAAAAAAGAGAAACUGCUUCCAGAGCCCAGAGGGACCACUGUAACCACAGGAUCACCAUGACCAUCUCUUUGGCCCCAGGAAAGGGCCCA